rnacentral:rRNA from 1 species
UACAGAGGUCUCAAGCGUUGUUCGGAUUCAUUGGGCGUAAAGGGUGUGUAGGUGGCGCGCUAAGUCGGGUGUGAAAUUUCGGAGCUUAACUCCGAAACUGCAUUCGAUACUGGCGUGCUUGAGGACUGGAGAGGAGACUGGAAUUCAUGGUGUAGCAGUGAAACGCGUAGAGAUCAUGAGGAAGACCAGUGGCGAAGGCGGGUCUCUGGACAGUUCCUGACACUGAGACACGAAGGCCAGGGGAGCAAACGGG